rnacentral:rRNA from 1 species
AACGAACGCUGGCGGCAUGCCUAACACAUGCAAGUCGAACGAGACCUUCGGGUCUAGUGGCGCACGGGUGCGUAACGCGUGGGAACCUGCCCUUAGGUUCGGAAUAACUCCCCGAAAGGGGUGCUAAUACCGGAUAAUGUCUUCGGACCAAAGAUUUAUCGCCUUUGGAUGGGCCCGCGUUGGAUUAGCUAGUUGGUAGGGUAAAAGCCUACCAAGGCGACGAUCCAUAGCUGGUCUGAGAGGAUGAUCAGCCACACUGGGACUGAGACACGGCCCAGACUACUACGGGAGGGAGCAGAGGGGAAUAUUGGAAAAUGGGCGAAAGCCUGAUCCAGCAAUGCCGGGUGAGUGAUGAAGGCAUUAGGGUUGUAAAGCUCUUUUACCCGGGAUGAUAAUGACAGUACCGGGAGAAUAAGCUCCGGCUAACUCCGUG